UUGACGGGACCCGCACAAGCGGUGGAUGAUGUGGCUUAAUUCGAUGCAACGCGAAAAACCUUACCCACCUUUGACAUGGCAGGAAUCCCGAAGAGAUUUGGGAGUGCUCGAAAGAGAACCUGCACACAGGUGCUGCAUGGCUGUCGUCAGCUCGUGUCGUGAGAUGUUGGGUUAAGUCCCGCAACGAGCGCAACCCUUGCCAUUAGUUGCUACGAAAGGGCACUCUAAUGGGACUGCCGGUGACAAACCGGAGGAAGGUGGGGAUGACGUCAAGUCCUCAUGGCCCUUAUAGGUGGGGCUACACACGUCAUACAAUGGCCGGUACAGAGGGUAGCCAACCCGCGAGGGGGAGCCAAUCCCACAAAGCCGGUCGUAGUCCGGAUCGCAGUCUGCAACUCGACUGCGUGAAGUCGGAAUCGCUAGUAAUCGCGGAUCAGCAUGUCGCGGUGAAUACGUUCCCGGGUCUU
rnacentral:rRNA from 1 species